CGGUGCACCCGUUCGGGAUCUGAGAGGAAUAGCAAGAGCAAAAGUGCAUUUACAUCCGAUAAUUUACCCAUAAUUGUGACAAGAUGAUGCGAUUGCGCAACAUAGCAGCGGCGGCGCCCGAAAUGCGCUCGAGAGCUCCGA
rnacentral:ribozyme from 1 species